AUUGAACGCUGGCGGCAGGCCUAACACAUGCAAGUCGAACGGAGCGGCGGACGGGUGAGUGAGGACUAGGGAGCUGCCUGGCAGUGGGGGAUAAAGUCAGGGAACGGGCGCUAAUAACGCCUACUAUCCAAUGACCUUAGGCGGGAUUAGCUGGUUGGUGGGGUAAAGGCCUACCAAGGCGACGAGCCGGAACUGGGCUGAGCGGAUGAUCAGUCACACGGGGACGGAGACACGGUCCAGACUCCUACGGGAGGCAGCAGUGGGGAAUAUUGGGCAAUGGGCGAAAGUCUGAGCCAGCCAGGCCGCGUGUGUGAAGAAGUUUGUCGGAUCGUAAAGCUCUGUAUGUUGGGCAGCGUUAUCUACCGAAUAAGCACCGGCUAACUUCGUGCCAGCAGCCGCGGUAAUAC
rnacentral:rRNA from 1 species